GGAGACUGCCGGUGACAAACCGGAGGAAUCCGUAACUGGUCUGAGAGGAUGAUCAGUCACACUGGAACUGAGACACGGUCCAGACUCCUACGGGAGGCAGCAGUGGGGAAUAUUGGACAAUGGGCGAAAGCCUGAUCCAGCCAUGCCGCGUGUGUGAAGAAGGUCUUCGGAUUGUAAGCACUUUAAGUUGUGGAGGAAGGGCAGUAACUUAAUACGUUGCUGCUUGACGUUACCGACAGAAUAAGCACCGGCUAACUCUGUGCCAGCAGCCGCGGUAAUACAGAGGGUGCAAGCGUUAAUCGGAAUUACUGGGCGUAAAGCGCGCGUAGGUGGUUUGUUAAGUUGGAUGUGAAAUCCCCGGGCUCAACCUGGGAACUGCAUUCAAAACUGACAAGCUAGAGUAUGGUAGAGGGUGGUGGAAUUUCCCGUGUAGCGGUGAAAUGCGUAGAUAUAGGAAGGAACACCAGUGGCGAAGGCGACCACCUGGACUGAUACUGACACUGAGGUGCGAAAGCGUGGGGGAGCAAACAGGAUUAGAUACCCUGGUAGUCCACGCCGUAAACGAUGUCAACUAGCCGUUGGGAGCCUUUGAGCUCUUAGUGGCGCAGCUAACGCAUUAAGUUGACCGCCUGGGGAGUACGGCC
rnacentral:rRNA from 1 species